ACCAAAGAGUAUGGAUCCUAGCAGUCACGAAAGCUUUAAAUCUAGAAUUAAUCCAUAGCAGCCUAUGUCCAUUCUAAACCACAAGCAUGUUAAUUAUACACACUUCAAAAACGCAAUACUGUAUAAAAUAUAUAUACCAAGGGCCAGUAUUACAGCAUCGAACUUUAAUAAAAGUUCUGAAGCAGAUUUUCUUUUUGUAACAACAAAAAAAUCCCGCCAAAAGUAACGGCCGAGUCCCGACGCCAAUUCACGUACAGUGUCGCGUAACUGUACCAACAUCGGCGACCACAACACCCACCCAUCCCUUCGUGCCCCGCCGCCGCCGCCACUCGCUCGCCCCCCUUGCCCCGAGAGCUCGUCGAGGCGGGUGACCCUUUGCCUUUGGUGCGGGGGAGCGGUGGCGCUGCGAUUCGCGCCGCCGCACGCGAGACCCGACCUCCGACUCCCCGCUCACGGCCCCACAAACACCGACGACGAAAUCUCUGGACCGGGCCACCCGGGGCCAUCGGCCUCCGCCUCAACACGAGUGGGGGGGUACCCGCUGCGGUGUUGCAGAGAGAGUUACAUAAAAGCACUUCACCUCGUCCAGAGGGAGAGCACAGGUGACAUCGAAUAUGGAGAGUAUUGAUGCACAGAGACAAAAUAGACUGUCAAAAAUUCCACAUAAAUACCAUAACUCAUCAGGAAGCGAGAAUUAUGAUGAUGAAGGAGAGAAGCCAAAUAAGAAAAUGAGAGUUGCAGCUAUGUCAGCCGAGGCCAUUCAGUGCUGCUCAGUGGUGGCCCUGCCAUUGCCACCAGAAUUCAUCACUCACCCAGCUCUGGCUGAAUUUUGCUCGCAAACAAGUGCCUCAACGUCCAAAGACAGACUUUACAUGAUUAGAACCCCUUCGCCGCUUGGACAGACGUCAACAGGAAGUUCACGAGCAGGGAGCUAUUCAAUAGAAGAUCGGAUUUCCAAAGGACACACUCAUACCCCACAAAGGCACGACCUAAAUUACAAGAGCCAAGUUCUACUCAAACUGGACAUCAUUAUAGAAAACCAGGCGGAGCAAUUACACCUUUUGCAAACACUUGCAAACAGAGCGGUUGUAAAUGAGACCUUGGAGGAUGUUCUUCCCAACCCAUUCAACACGACGGAUGAACUUGAAGAGCUUUGCUGUAGAAUUAGCACAGAUGACAAAUUCAAAAAGGACAUGGUAUAUUACUUUUGAUAUCCUAUCUGAGUUCACUGGGUGGAUGUAACGUUGGGGACAGUGUCCACCGAAUGAUGAGAACGCUCGGCACCAAUGCCCUGUGGUCAAAGUACAGCCUCAAAGGGAGAAAAGGGAAGCUGUCCCUAAUAUAUCUUCCAGUUUUCAUGGUGCUGACGAGAGCUUGCUUAAAGAACCACCCAAGAGCAAACGUGAAGGAAAUAGAGGGAGAGAUUGCAGAAACCCUAAAGCAUGCUCCCAACAAACGAGGAGGGGCAAAUUACAAGGAAUCUGCAGUCAGGACUUUAAGGAAUAAGUACCAGUCCAGCCUUCCCACGUCUUUCUCUGACACUGAUCUUUAAAAUUAUGAAAUCAAUACAACCUUAAAAUGCCAUUUGUAAAAGUUUCAUAGCUCGGCCUAUAUAUAUAAAAAAGCAAUUUAAAGUAGCUGACAUUAAUGGCAAAAUGUUAUCUCUAGCGUCUGUACUAUAUUAGUUUAAGUGUGUAUUAUGUGUACUCAAUUUGUACUUUUUCGAGUGAAAAUAAAUGUUUAAUAUCA